UACGUAGGUGGCGAGCGUUGUCCGGAAUUACUGGGCGUAAAGGGCGCGUAGGUGGCCUGUUAAGUCGAACGUGAAAUCCCCGGGCUCAACCCGGGAACUGCGUCCGAGACUGGCAGGCUCGAAUCCGGGAGAGGGAUGUGGAAUUCCAGGUGUAGCGGUGAAAUGCGUAGAUAUCUGGAGGAACACCGGUGGCGAAGGCGGCAUCCUGGACCGGUAUUGACGCUGAGGCGCGAAAGCCAGGGGAGCAAACGGG
rnacentral:rRNA from 1 species